UACCAGCACCCCGAGUGGUCGGGACGAUUAUUGGGCCUAAAGCAUCCGUAGCCGGUCCUGCAAGUCUUCCGUUAAAUCCAGCUGCUCAACAGAUGGGCUGCGGGGGAUACUACAGGGCUAGGAGGCGUGAGAGGCAAGCGGUACUUUAUGGGUAGAGGUAAAAUCCGUUGAUCCAUAGAAGACCACCAGUGGCGAAGGCGGCUUGCCAGAACGCGCUCGACGGUGAGGGAUGAAAGCUGGGGGAGCAAACCGG
rnacentral:rRNA from 1 species